UACGAAGGUGGCAAGCGUUGUUCGGAUUUACUGGGCGUACAGGGAGCGUAGGCGGUUGGAUAAGCCCUCCGUGAAAUCUCCAGGCUUAACCUGGAAAGUGCAGAGGGGACUGUUCAGCUAGAGGAUGGGAGAGGAGCGCGGAAUUCCCGGUGUAGCGGUGAAAUGCGUAGAGAUCGGGAGGAAGGCCGGUGGCGAAGGCGGCGCUCUGGACAGUUCCUGACACUGAGACACGAAGGCCAGGGAGCAAACGGG
rnacentral:rRNA from 1 species